CCUACGGGUGGCAGCAGUAGGGAAUCUUCCACAAUGGACGAAAGUCUGAUGGAGCAACGCCGCGUGAGUGAAGAAGGGUUUCGGCUCGUAAAGCUCUGUUGGUAGUGAAGAAAGAUAGAGGUAGUAACUGGCAUUUAUUUGACGGUAAUUACUUAGAAAGUCACGGCUAACUACGUGCCAGCAGCCGCGGUAAUACGGAGGGUGGGAGCGUGAAUCGGAAUUACUGGGCGUAAAGCGCUCGUAGGCGGUAUGUCAAGUCAAGGGGCAAAUCCCCGCGCUCAACGUGGGAACUGCCUUUGAAACUGGCAAACUGGAGUGUGUGAGAGGAUAGUGGAAUUCCAGGUGUAGGAGUGAAAUCCGUAGAUAUCUGGAGGAACAUCAGUGGCGAAGGCGACUAUCUGGCACAUAACUGACGCUGAGGAGCGAGAGCGUGGGUAGCAAACAGGAUUAGAUACCCCUGUAGUC
rnacentral:rRNA from 1 species